rnacentral:misc_RNA from 1 species
AUAGAGAUAAGCCGAUUUCAUGUGUUAUUUAUGACGUACUUAUGCACUGUGCUCAAACUGUUGCUAAUCGUCUGAAGCUGCCGGGGAUUGCUCUUCGGACUAGUGCUGCUGCUACCAUAUUAUCCUAUUUUGCUGUCUUUCCUAAUCCACUUGAACAAGGCUUUGGUUCUCUUCUAGAUUCCAUGGCUGAAGAAUUUUCGACUGAGCUUCAGUCCCUCAAGCUUAAGGAGCUACAUGCCUCUAUAAAAACAGAGUAUCCUCCAGAUGCCGUGCUAGAGCUGAGAGCAAUCAUCACAAGCGCAAUUAAAGACUCGUCAGCUAUCAUUAUUAACACAAUGUCCUAUCUUGAACGGGAAGCACUGACAAAGAUUCAAGAUAUUUUCAAUGCUUCAAUAUUUCCCGUAGGCCCUUUCCACAAGCUAGCCCCAACAGCCUCUAAUUCACUGCUGCAGGAAGACAGAAGUUGCAUUUCUUGGCUUGACAAGCAAACCCCAAAAUCUGUUCUCUAUGUAAGCUUUGGCAGCAUUGUUAGCAUGACUGAGGAUGAAUUACUCGAGGUAGCCUGGGGUCUAGCCAACAGUGAGCUGCCUUUCUUGUGGGUGCUUAGGCCUGGUUUGGUUCGUGGUUCAGAUUUGCUUGAGCCAUUGCCAGAAAUUUUCAAAAA